UGUGUUCUAAAACCCUUGAAUGAGUAGGUGUUCUAAAACCCUUGAAUGAGUAGGUGUUCUAAAACCCUUGAAUGAGUAGGUGUUCUAAAACCCUUGAAUGAGUAGGUGUUCUAAAACCCUUGAAUGAGUAGGUGUUCUAAAACCCUUGAAUGAGUAGGUGUUCUAAAACCCUUGAAUGAGUAGGUGUUCUAAAACCCUGGAAUGAGUAGGUGUUCUAAAACCCUGGAAUGAGUAGGUGUUCUAAAACCCUUGAAUGAGUAGGUGUUCUAAAACCCUUGAAUGAGUAGGUGUUCUAAAACCCUUGAAUGAGUAGGUGUUCUAAAACCCUUGAAUGAGUAGGUGUUCUAAAACCCUGGAAUGAGUAGGUGUUCUAAAACCCUUGAAUGAGUAGGUGUUCUAAAACCCUGGAAUGAGUAGGUGUUCUAAAACCCUGGAAUGAGUAGGUGUUCUAAAACCCUUGAAUGAGUAGGUGUUCUAAAACCCUUGAAUGAG